CCGGCCGGGCUGGGGGCUCCUGGUGCUGCCCGUGGGGUGGGAUGCUGGAAUUGCCUCUCUGGGUGUGUGCUGAGCUCUGGCUGCAGGGGACUGUCAGGCCUUGGUGGCUGUGAGUUCCUGUUCUUCUCCCUGGGAAACUGGAAAGAGUUAUUCCUUGGAUUGCAGAAAUGUUUUCUGAAGCCUGUCCCCUUCUUUGUGCCUUUUGCUGACAGACCUUCUCUUUCUGCCUUUGCAUGUACAGCUGUUCCCUGCUGUCCAUUCCCUGGCCUGAAUUCCUUGCAGCUCCCAGCUGGGGAAACCUGGGAUAACAUGGCAGGGACAGAGGUGACAUUUGUAGCUGCCAACUUGGGGUAAUUUCGAGGGGCCCCAGCAACUGUUUGUGUAGGAAAAGCUUUGCAGGUUUGGAUGAAUUCUACCUACAGCCCGCAAUUCCAUGCCGAAUUCCUGCUGCAACAGCCUCCCAGUGCCUCCUGGAGCCCGGAUGUUCCCCCGCAGAGCUGCUGCUCUAACGCCAGGUUUGCCAGGAAGCAGCCACAGUUCCAGGUUUGCUCAGCGGGAUCGGGACAAGGACAGGUUGAUAUUCCACAGACUUUGCUGUUUGUAACCCUCCUCCCCCAGCCCCGCUGGUGUCCCUGGGGGGACUUGAGCGAGUUCGCUGGAAUUCGGCCGCUUUUCCGCCCCGGGCCGGGCUCCAGGGGAUGGGUUCGCCCAGGAGAAGGCGGGGGCCGGACGCGCUCCCGGCCCGGGGCGAGGCAGCCCCUGAGCACGGGCGAGGACGUCUCUCCGGCCGGGAAGCCGCUGUCCCUUCGGAGCCUCGGGAGCGGCCCCGGGGAAUUCUUUUCCCCGAGGAAAGGGAUGCACAGCCCUGCCUUCAGGGCACCUCGGCUCUGACCCACCUGUUCCAGCUGUCCACGGGCUCUGCAGGUGCGGUUGGGUCCCCGAAAAACUGCGAAUUGCCUCCGAGCCCGACUUUCUCCGAGCAUCCCCUUUUCUUUUCAGGCAUCUCCGAGGGCUCUGGCUCGGGCUUUAGUGCCGCUGAGGGCACAUGGCCCCGGCUUUAAGGCUGCUGCUGGCUGCUGGGCUCCGGCUGGAAGGGCAGGGAUUUGGGGCGGGCGGGACACGCGUGGGGGGCGCGGGGGAGCUCUGGGAGGUGGGCCCUGGGAAUGGCUGCCCGCGCUGCUCUGCAGCCCCGCCGUGCCGACCCUGCCGAGUGCCGGCUGGAUUCUUUGGGUGCUUCUGGGCUGGCGCUGGGGCGUGUCCGGGGUGAGGCAUCUCAGGGGGCCCGUUCAGAGCAGCCCCCGGCUGAGGAGCCGCAGGCAGUCCUUUCCCCGUGCCCACCCCGGUGCCCGUGGCUGGUUCCCCCCCCUGGGAUGUGCGUUUGGCAGACGAGCCCUGCUCGGGAGACAAAUCCAUCUUGUGCCCGAUGGAAGCGCUGGCCCGGGGCUGCUCCAUCCCUGCUGCCAGGAGCUGUGCUGGGAGUCCUGCGGCUGCGGGCGGGAUAGCCUGAGCUCCGGACGCUCCGGAGCGCCGGGAGCCCCGGCAGGGCAGUGCAGGGCACAGCUCCUCCAUCCCCUGGCAAUAGGAAGCCCAAGCAGGGCUGGGUCACUCUCUGUCGCUCCGGCCUCCUCCCGGCCCGCGUUCCCUGCCCACUUGGGACUGCCCAGGAAGCCCCGAGAACGUUCCUGGCGGGAAGCGGGAGCCGCCGAGGGCUCCGUCCAACUCCGGGCCCGAAAAGCGGCCCCGACCUGAACCCCCCCCGGCAUUUUGGGUUCCGAAGGCUCACCUGGAGGAGACGCCC